rnacentral:lncRNA from 7 species
ACCGUCGCUAUUGACUCCGGCUCCGACCUCGCCGGAGACCGCUCCUCCUCGUCACCGGCGGUCGCGCCCGCCUCGCCGGCGCCCUAGGUCUCGCUCGUCGGCACCGACCACAUCUUCCUCGACCCCUUCCACCUCUACGACGCCUGCGCCACCCACCCUGAUCCCUCCAUCGAUCACACUGGGUGAGUACAACAAGGGUGAACUCACAUACAUUCAUCGCUUAACAAGUUAUGGAGAAUAAUUCAAGAGUCAAAGGAUAUAUUGCGGAAGAAUUUAAACUUAAGGAUGUAGCACACUUUACAAGUUGUUACUUUGCUCAAAAGAAGAGGUAACAUGAUGAUGAACGAAGGCUACCUCCGUGCAGUGAUCUUUCAAUUUUUCAAAUGAACAGCAAAACAAGAGGCACCUCUGCUCAUAUGUGAAAUACUUUGUACCCUCAAAUACUUCAUGUCCUAUAAUAUUAUGUAACAAUGAGUUUGACGAGCAAAACAUAAGGUGUCUAGGUCGACCAAUAACGAGAUAACUAGACAAAUUGCAGUGAGAUGGAAUGCAUGGCGACCUAAAUUCAUCAUGUGGCUAUGAGAUCAUGCAAGUCUUAAAUUAGUUUAGUGCACUGCAUUGUAUACUUUACACUAUAUUGUAGUGU